rnacentral:tRNA from 1 species
UGUAUGCGAUGGCGCGCGAACUCGCGGCGGCGCUCACAACGCCGCAGAUCGUCGAGAUCGGCUCGCGACACGUACGU